UACAGAGGUCCCAAGCGUUGUUCGGAUUCAUUGGGCGUAAAGGGUGCGCAGGCGGCGGGGCAAGUCGGACGUGAAAUCUCGGGGCUUAACCCCGAAACUGCGUUCGAUACUGCCCUGCUUGAGGACUGGAGAGGAGACUGGAAUUCCUGGUGUAGCAGUGAAAUGCGUAGAUAUCAGGAGGAACGCCAAUGGCGAAGGCAAGUCUCUGGACAGUUCCUGACGCUCAUGCACAAGGCCCAGGGGGAGCAAACGGG
rnacentral:rRNA from 1 species